CAAACGCUGAGUUCAGCUGGGCACAGCCCCAUGGCCGUGUAACCCUUCGCUUGCCGGAUGGAGCGCGUUCCCCUGUGCGGAGCAGCGCCUUCGGGCUGCAGGGCGCUGCACACAGCAGGAGCUGCGCUGCAGGUUCACUUCUAGAGCACGAAGUGAGAAGAAGCAGGGAGGCUUCAUUUUGAGCCUGCCACGGAAUGGUCAACUUCUGCGCGCUCCCCAAAGGAAACGGGAAUGUUGGAAGAGAUUGUUAACCCUUCUGUUGUUUACGAUGUGGCACGGGAUUAGCAGUGGGGCUCCCCCCAGAGCCCGCGCCCCACCGGCGUGCCGGGCGGAUUAUGGCAGGGCAGCAUGCUGACCUCUGCUCUGCUGGGAAACGGAGGCUCCCGAGAUGAUAAGUGGCUCUGGGAAGAAAUUCCUUUCCCCACAUGAGGGAGUGGCGGCGCUGGGCACGUCUGCACCUCUGCACACACGUGGGGACCUGACGUGGAGAGGUGGGAGCUGAGGUUCUGCGAGGAGGACACGGUGUGGGGCCCUGCAGAUCAGGUCAGUAUGGGGCAGGACGGGGCAGGACAGCCAUACCUAGCUGGCUGGGUGCUGGCCGGCUCCAGCUGAGCAAACACAGCUGGGAAGCAGUUCUUGCAGGUGCCUGGAGCAGCUUGGUGUGGGGGCACAGCAGUGUGGAUCCAUACUGGGAUUAUUAGUCCUGAUGGAGUUUGAGGUUCAGGUAUGGGGGUUGUGAUCACACUAGAGAGGAAUAAGUUUGUCUGAGGUCUUUUGUGUGCAGGAACCAGUAGGAGAAUGAAAG
ensembl:lncRNA